UCUUGAAAAUAGAUGGGUUCAUGUCCUCCUCCAAACAAAUCACACCAAAAUUGGGUUUCGAUCUGCCGAUUUCGAUUUUUUUUAAAUUGAAGCCUUACAUGAAUUUUCAUUUGUUUUUAAUAAUUUAUCUUGCUCCCAUGAUCAUUUUCCAGGUUGUUUUGGUAUAGAUCUAGGGAAGAUUCUGACCUCAUACUUGUGGCAUUGGAGCUUCAGCAAGGUUGCACAGGUAACCAUGGUUGAAGCUAAGUGCGUCAAAAGUUUACAUGCUGUAUUUAAAGAGGAUUUUGUGAUUAUUGUUGUCACCAAUCCCACCAAUCCAGACUGCAAUCCACCAAAUCAGAGGUGCAUCAUUAUAGACAUUUUACAGUUACUCAGUCUUUCUCAA